rnacentral:rRNA from 1 species
UCUACGGGAGGCAGCAGUGGGGGAUAUUGCACAAUGGGCGCAAGCCUGAUGCAGCGACGCCGCGUGAGUGAAGAAGUAUUUCGGUAUGUAAAGCUCUAUCAGCAGGGAAGAAAGGCCCUUUAAGGGAAAUGACGGUACCUGACUAAGAAGCCCCGGCUAACUACGUGCCAGCAGCCGCGGUAAUA